AGAGUUUGAUCAUGGCUCAGAUUGAACGCUGGCGGCAUGCCUUACACAUGCAAGUCGAACGCGAAAGUGGGGGCAACCCUGCAAGUAGAGUGGCGAACGGGUGAGUAACACAUCGGAACGUACCCAGGAGUGGGGGACAACCCCGAGAAAUCGAGGCUAAUACCGCAUACGUCCUGAGGGAGAAAGCGGGGGAUCCGCAAGGACCUCGCGCUCAUGGAGCGGCCGAUGUCGGAUUAGCUAGUUGGCGGGGUAAGAGCCCACCAAGGCUACGAUCCGUAGCUGGUUUGAGAGAACGACCAGCCACACUGGGACUGAGACACGGCCCAGACUCCUACGGGAGGCAGCAGUGGGGAAUUUUGGACAAUGGGCGCAAGCCUGAUCCAGCCAUGCCGCGUGAGUGAAGAAGGCCUUCGGGUUGUAAAGCUCUUUCGGCCGGAACGAAAUCGGGUGCGUGAAUAACGUAUCUGGAUGACGGUACUGGAAGAAGAAGCACCGGCUAACUACGUGCCAGCAGCCGCGGUAAUACGUAGGGUGCGAGCGUUAAUCGGAAUUACUGGGCGUAAAGCGUGCGCAGGCGGUUCUGCAAGUCAGAUGUGAAAUCCCCGGGCUUAACCUGGGAACUGCGUUUGAAACUACGGAGCUAGAGUGUGGCAGAGGGGGGUGGAAUUCCCGUGUAGCAGUGAAAUGCGUAGAUAUGUGGAGGAACACCGAUGGCGAAGGCAGCCCCCUGGGCCGACACUGACGCUCAGGCACGAAAGCGUGGGGAGCAAACAGGAUUAGAUACCCUAGUAGUCC
rnacentral:rRNA from 1 species